rfam:Biomphalaria glabrata isolate BB02 unplaced genomic scaffold LGTN_random_Scaffold9495, whole genome shotgun sequence.
UGGCUGAGCGGUAAAGCGCUUGGCUUCUGAACCGAGGGUCCCGGGUUCGAAUCCUGG